GAGAGAGAGAAGGGCAGAAAAAGAGAAGAGGUCUGGGUCAGCAGCUUCAGUCCAACAGCCUUGGAGAGGACUCAGGGACAGGCAUCAGAGAGAGCGAAGGUCAGAGAAAGAGAAGAGGUCUGGGUCAGCAGCUUCAGUCCAGCAGCCUUGGAGAGGACUCAGGGACAGGCAUCAGAGAGAGAGAGAAGGGCAGAAAAAGAGAAGAGGUCUGGGUCAGCAGCUUCAGUCCAGCAGCCUUGGAGAGGACUCAGGGACAGGCAUCAGAGAGAGAGAAGGGCAGAGAAAGAUAAGAGGUCUGGGUCAGCAGCUUCAGUCCAGCAGCCUUGGAGAGGACUCAGGGACAGGCAUCAGAGAGAGAAGGGCAGAGAAAGAUAAGAGGUCUGGGUCAGCAGCUUCAGUCCAGCAGCCUUGGAGAGGACUCAGGGACAGGCAUCAGAGAGAGAGAAGGUCAGAGAAAGAUAAGAGGUCUGGGUCAGCAGCUUCAGGCCAGCAGCCUUGGAGAGGACUCAGGGACAGGCAUCAGAGAGAGAGAGAAGGUCAGAGAAAGAGAAGAGGUCUGGAUCAGCAGCUUCAGUCCAGCAGCCUUGGCGCUUCUGCCACAUUCUUUCUUUUCUGGAUCCAUUUAUUGUGCCUCGGGCAACGAGUGACAGUUUUACAGCCAGACCCUUUACGUCAUCCACAAGUGUGGGCGCCACUGGUGCAUCAAGGCCCUCAACGUC